rnacentral:lncRNA from 1 species
CCCAAUUCAACAUGCUAUAGCACAAGAUUAAGCACUCAUUGAAGUUUUUAGAAAGACCCUACUACAUAUAGCAUCUGAUUCAAGUUCAAGCACCAAAAAAACCACCUAUAGAGAGAGUUAGAGCACCUGUGGAGGGCCCAAACUAAACUUUUUAGCAGCCACCAGAAGACCAUUAAGAAGGGCAUCUUUUGCUCCCAACUGCAAAUAAUUUCCUUCAUUUUGGACCUGUAAAGUGGCAGAUUAAACUUGGACUAAAUUAGUUUAAGAUACAUAAUAAAUUAAUACAAUUUCAUAUCAAUCAAAUCACACUAAAGGAAGUAUUAUUUCAAACCUAGUGAACAUUUACUGUGUUGAAUCCUUUUUAUGUGUACCAUAUGCAGAAGUUAAUAGUACAAACUUUUCACAAUUUCGUAAUCAACCACAUCAUAUAUAAAAGAAGAAAAUUAUGGAAUCAAUUCAAAAUUAUCUAAACCAGAGGGCAAAGUUAUACAAGUAUUACUUGUUUAAUUUAAAAAGAAAAUUAGAACAUGUGUUGGGACGUUAUUUUUAUUACUAGGAGGUUGUAUGAAAAAUGAUUAGAAUAAAUUAGAUAAGAGGGUGGUUAGAUUAGAUUGUGCCUAAUGCUAGUAUUGUACUUAAUUUAGGUUUUAUAGAUUACAUGCAUCUAGGAAUUAAAUUUUUACCAUUGUGCUUUAAUAUAAGGUUUUAUAGAAGUCCAAGUAGUCCCUCAGUCUCAAAUGAAAGUCUUUCUAUAUCUAUAAUCCCAAAAGACAGUCCAUUUCUAAAGAUAUGGAUAAAUUAAAAAUUGAAAUGGACAGUGGAUUUUCAUUUUGGACAAAGGGAGUAUAUAAAUAUGAGGAAUUAGUUCAUAUUGGUGGAAUUAUUUUGUUUUACUUUUCUUUUCUCUCUUCUUUUUCAUUUUUCCUUCCUUCACCCUCAGUUUUUCUAAUUCCAAAGAAAUCCUUUAUUGGUGAAAUCACCAAGCAGUUCUAGAUUCUAAUCUUCAUCUAAUUUCUCAGCUUGUUUACUGUGAAAAAUACUCUAGAGAUUUCAAGAAAUUUUAACAGUCAUCCCCAAUCUCAAGAAAUUCAACAAGAAAAAAGAUAUUAAUAGCAAUGCAGAACAUAAAUUAGAGAAAGAGGAGCUAAUAACCUCUUGUAAUAGCUGAGCCUGGCGAGAAAUAUCUUCAACCGAAGAGCUAGUAGAGCUCCCAUUAUACUCAUGAUCACUCACACUAUCACUCCCACACAACGGAUCCCCAAU